rnacentral:rRNA from 1 species
CCUACGGGAGGCAGCAGUGGGGAAUUUUGGACAAUGGGCGAAAGCCUGAUCCAGCCAUGCCGCGUGCAGGAUGAAGGCCUUCGGGUUGUAAACUGCUUUUGUACGGAACGAAACGGCCUUUUCUAAUAAAGAGGGCUAAUGACGGUACCGUAAGAAUAAGCACCGGCUAACUACGUGCCAGCAGCCGCGGUAAUACGUAGGGUGCAAGCGUUAAUCGGAAUUACUGGGCGUAAAGCGUGCGCAGGCGGUUAUGUAAGACAGUUGUGAAAUCCCCGGGCUCAACCUGGGAACUGCAUCUGUGACUGCAUAGCUAGAGUACGGUAGAGGGGGAUGGAAUUCCGCGUGUAGCAGUGAAAUGCGUAGAUAUGCGGAGGAACACCGAUGGCGAAGGCAAUCCCCUGGACCUGUACUGACGCUCAUGCACGAAAGCGUGGGGAGCAAACAGGAUUAGAUACCCUGGUAGUCCACGCCCUAAACGAUGUCAACUGGUUGUUGGGUCUUCACUGACUCAGUAACGAAGCUAACGCGUGAAGUUGACCGCCUGGGGAGUACGGCCGCAAGGUUGAAACCGUCAAAGUAGUAGUGGACGNGNGAGAGCGACGACGACGACGACGGAGGGAGGAGG